rnacentral:rRNA from 1 species
UGGGGAAUUUUCGACAAUGGGGGGAACCCUGAUCGAGCCAUCCCGCGUGUGGGACGAAGGCCUUCGGGUUGUAAACCACUUUUCUCAACGACGAAAAGUAUUAGGCUAAUACCUUAAGAUGCUGACGGUAGUUGAGGAAUAAGCACCGGCUAACUAUGUGCCAGCAGCCGCGGUAAUACAAAGGGUGCAAGCGUUAAACGGAAUGACUGGGCGUAAAGGGUGCGCAGGCGGCUUGGAAAGAACGGUGUGAAAUCCCGGGGCUCAACCCCGGAACUGCACUAUUAACUAUCAAGCUAGAGUAUGUCAGAGGGGGGUGGAAUUCCGCGUGUAGCAGUGAAAUGCGUAGAUAUGCGGAGGAACACCAAUGGCGAAGGCAGCCCCCUGGGAUAAUACUGACGCUCAGGCACGAAAGCGUGGGUAGCAAACAGG